CCUACGGGAGGCAGCAGUGAGGAAUAUUGGUCAAUGGACGAGAGUCUGAACCAGCCAAGUAGCGUGAAGGAUGACUGCCCUAUGGGUUGUAAACUUCUUUUAUAUGGGAAUAAAAUGUUCCACGUGUGGGAUUUUGUAUGUACCAUAUGAAUAAUGAUCGGCUAACUCCGUGCCAGCAGCCGCGGUAAUACGGAGGAUCCGAGCGUUAUCCGGAUUUAUUGGGUUUAAAGGGAGCGUAGGUGGAUUGUUAAGUCAGUUGUGAAAGUUUGCGGCUCAACCGUAAAAUUGCAGUUGAAACUGGCAGUCUUGAGUACAGUAGAGGUGGGAGGAAUUCGUGGUGUAGCGGUGAAAUGCUUAGAUAUCACGAAGAACUCCGAUUGCGAAGGCAGUUCACUGGACUGCAACUGACACUGAGGCUCGAAAGUGUGGGUAUCAAACAGGAUUAGAUACCCCUGUAGUC
rnacentral:rRNA from 1 species